rnacentral:misc_RNA from 1 species
GAUGAAGAACGUAGCGAAAUGCGAUAAGUAGUGUGAAUUGCAGAAUUCCGUGAAUCAUCGAAUCUUUGAACGCACAUUGCGCCCGCCAGUAUUCUGGCGGGCAUGCCUGUUCGACCGUCAUUUCAACCCUCAAGCCCCCGGGCUUGGUGUUGGGGAUCGGCGUGCCCUCGCGGCGCGCCGUCCCCUAAAUCUAGUGGCGGUCUCGCUGUAGCUUCCUCUGCGUAGUAGCAACACUCGCACUGGAUCGCAGCGCGGCCACGCCGUUAAACCCCCCACUUCUGAAAGUUUGACCUCGGAUCAGGUAGGAAUACCCGCUGAACUUAAGCAUAUCAAUAAGCGGAGGA